AUUUAAGUAGUUUAUAUAAAAUACUGAUUUGUGGUAUCAGUGAAAUAAUUUAAUUAUCUUAAAUC
rnacentral:tRNA from 1 species